GACGAACGCUGGCGGCGUGCUCAACACAUGCAAGUCGAACGGGUCUGCCCUGUUUUUUGCGGGGUGGGUCAGUGGCGAACGGGUGAGUAACACGUGAGUAACCUGCCCCUCACUUCUGGAUAACCGCUUGAAAGGGUGGCUAAUACGGGGUGUUCUGGCUGUGCCGCAUGGUGUGGCUGGGAAAGAUUCACUUUUGUGGUGUUUUGGUGGGGGAUGGGCUCGCGGCCUAUCAGCUUGUUGGUGGGGUGAUGGCCUGCCAAGGCUUUGACGGGUAGCCGGCCUGAGAGGGUGGGCGGUCACACGGGGACUGAGAUACGGCCCAGACUCCUGCGGGAGGCAGCAGUGGGGGGUAUUGCACAAUGGGCGGAAGCCUGAUGCAGCGACGUCGCGUGAGGGAUGGAGGCCUUCGGGUUGUGAACCUCUUUCGCCGGUGAAGAAGGUCCUGCUCUUUGUGGUGGGGUUGACGGUAGCCGGGUUAUGAAGCGCCGGCUAACUACGUG
rnacentral:rRNA from 1 species